GACAUCCUCGUCAAGUGGACUGAUCGUUUUAAACGAUCAACUCAAGCCAGUCUCUUCGGAGGCGAGAGUUCGAAUCUCUCAGGUGUCG
rnacentral:tRNA from 1 species